CACAGAGAGCUUGCUCUCGGGUGACGAGCGGCGGACGGGUGAGUAAUGUCUGGGAAACUGCCUGAUGGAGGGGGAUAACUACUGGAAACGGUAGCUAAUACCGCAUAACGUCGCAAGACCAAAGUGGGGGACCUUCGGGCCUCAUGCCAUCAGAUGUGCCCAGAUGGGAUUAGCUAGUAGGUGGGGUAACGGCUCACCUAGGCGACGAUCCCUAGCUGGUCUGAGAGGAUGACCAGCCACACUGGAACUGAGACACGGUCCAGACUCCUACGGGAGGCAGCAGUGGGGAAUAUUGCACAAUGGGCGCAAGCCUGAUGCAGCCAUGCCGCGUGUGUGAAGAAGGCCUUCGGGUUGUAAAGCACUUUCAGCGGGGAGGAAGGCGGUGAGGUUAAUAACCUUGUCGAUUGACGUUACCCGCAGAAGAAGCACCGGCUAACUCCGUGCCAGCAGCCGCGGUAAUACGGAGGGUGCAAGCGUUAAUCGGAAUUACUGGGCGUAAAGCGCACGCAGGCGGUCUGUCAAGUCGGAUGUGAAAUCCCCGGGCUCAACCUGGGAACUGCAUUCGAAACUGGCAGGCUAGAGUCUUGUAGAGGGGGGUAGAAUUCCAGGUGUAGCGGUGAAAUGCGUAGAGAUCUGGAGGAAUACCGGUGGCGAACGCGGCCCCCUGGACGAAGACUGACGCUCAGGUGCGAAAGCGUGGGGAGCAGACAGGAUUAGAUACCCUGGUAGUCCACGCCGUAGACGAUGUCAAUUUGGAGGUUGUGCCCUUGAGGCGUGGCUUCCGGAGCUAACGCGUUAAAUCGACCGCCUGGCGAGUACAGCCGCAAGGUUAAGACUCAAAUGAAUUGACGGGGGCCCGCACAAGCAGUGGAGCAUGUGGUUUAAUUCGAUGCAGCGCGAAGAACCUUACCUGGUCUUGACAUCCACAGAAGUUUCCA
rnacentral:rRNA from 1 species